AACGGUAGCUAAUACCGCAUAACGUCGCAAGACCAAAGAGGGACCUUCGGGCCUCUUGCCAUCGGAUGUGCCCAGAUGGGAUUAGCUUGUUGGUGGGGUAACGGCUCACCAAGGCGACGAUCCCUAGCUGGUCUGAGAGGAUGACCAGCCACAUCUGGAACUGAGACACGGUCCAGACUCCUACGGGAGGCAGCAGUGGGGAAUAUUGCACAAUGGGCGCAAGCCUGAUGCAGCCAUGCCGCGUGUAUGAAGAAGGCCUUCGGGUGGUAAAGUACUUUCAGCGGGGAGGAGGGGGGUAAAGUAAUACCU
rnacentral:rRNA from 1 species